CGCGUAGGCGGACUAUUAAGUCAGGGUGAAAUCCCGGGCUCAACCCCGGAACUGCCCUUGAUACUGGUAGUCUUGAGUUCGAGAGAGGUGAGUGGAAUUCCGAGUGUAGAGGUGAAAUUCGUAGAUAUUCGGAGGAACACCAGUGGCGAAGGCGGCUCACUGGCUCGAUACUGACGCUGAGGUGCGAAAGCGUGGGGAGCAAACA
rnacentral:rRNA from 1 species